GAUGAACGCUGGCGGCGUGCUUAACACAUGCAAGUCGAACGAAGCACUUUAUUACGAUUUCUUCGGAAUGACGAUUUGGUGACUGAGUGGCGGACGGGUGAGUAACGCGUGGGUAACCUGCCUUAUACAGGGGGAUAACAGUUGGAAACGGCUGCUAAUACCGCAUAAGCGCACAGGGUCGCAUGACCUGGUGUGAAAAACUCCGGUGGUAUGAGAUGGACCCGCGUUGGAUUAGCUGGUUGGUGAGGUAACGGCCCACCAAGGCGACGAUCCAUAGCCGACCUGAGAGGGUGACCGGCCACAUUGGGACUGAGACACGGCCCAAACUCCUACGGGAGGCAGCAGUGGGGAAUAUUGCACAAUGGGCGAAAGCCUGAUGCAGCGACGCCGCGUGAGUGAAGAAGUAUUUCGGUAUGUAAAGCUCUAUCAGCAGGAAGAUAAUGACGGUACCUGACUAAGAAGCACCGGCUAAAUACGUG
rnacentral:rRNA from 1 species